CCUACGGGUGGCAGCAGUAAGGAAUAUUGGUCAAUGGACGCAAGUCUGAACCAGCCAUGCCGCGUGGAGGAUGAAGGUCCUCUGGAUUGUAAACUUCUUUUAUCUGGGAAGAAACCCAUCUUUUCUUGGGUGGUUGACGGUACCAGAUGAAUAAGCACCGGCUAACUCCGUGCCAGCAGCCGCGGUAAUACGGAGGGUGCAAGCGUUAUCCGGAUUCACUGGGUUUAAAGGGUGCGUAGGUGGGUUGGUAAGUCAGUGGUGAAAUCUCCAGGCUUAACUUGGAAACUGCCAUUGAUACUAUCAAUCUUGAAUACCGUGGAGGUCAGCGGAAUAUGUCAUGUAGCGGUGAAAUGCUUAGAUAUGACAUAGAACACCAAUUGCGAAGGCAGCUGGCUACACGAAUAUUGACACUGAUGCACGAAAGCGUGGGGAUCAAACAG
rnacentral:rRNA from 1 species